AAUCCCCCCCUCUUGAUUGAGCCUGUCUAGUGGGAGGGGCCAUGGGGUAUAAAAGGGGUGAGCUGCAGUCCUUCUGACAGUCUACUGAGGUGAUCAUUACAUUAUGUUGUCAAUUAUGGUUAAAUGCACUCAGUGAUUGAGUUUGAUUUGCAUUUAUUUUGCUAAUGGAUUAUGUGAAUUAUUGACAUUGAUUAUUUGAAGUACCGCUCUCGACAGCAUAACAACCCAUUAUCGCCACACCAGCUGGAAACGACUCACUGCGCCCUCCCAGGGAAACAUGGUGAAGCAAGGUACUGGUUUGUACCUUGCUGAAGCGAUGGGACCAGGAGGAGAACUGGCGGAUCUCCAGGGAAGACUCUUCAUCAUUGGUUUCCUCAUCCUCGUCAGAAUCCAGGCCAUUCCAGUCCAGGUCCUUGAAGAAUGGGUGCUGCUUCACCUCCAGGGCGCCACCUACCACCACACGCAUGCACAGGACCAUUAGGAUUCAAGGUUUAAUGAUGUGUUCGAGAUGCCUCGUACACCAGCCGCACAAUAUGCAAAGUGAUAAUUCUCCCAGCUUUCUUGCGGCAUUUCACCGAGGCACGCCCUCCUUUUGGUCAUAUCUCGGGAUUCGGAGUCCACCGAGUUCAGUGAGGUUGACCGUACGACUCGACAAACUAAAAUGGCUACGCGCCUAAUGAGAUGUAUUUUCUUUGUAUUUGUGCCACGUUGGUCGUUUUAAUGUUGAUUUUAAAUGCUCUUACAAAUUUCUUACAACUUGCAUUGCUGCUUUAAACCAGUCACUAAAUUAUGCAUUGCACGGUCUCGCUGUGCGUGCAAAACAAUGUCAAGUUGUGUUUUUUUUCGAGCUGGUUUGCCAAAGAGGCUAAUGGAGAUGACAAUGACAAAGACUGUUCUUCCCUGCCUUGUCGUGUAGCGAUGGCCGAAAAGACACGGAACACUAAUUCAGGGGACGCAUCCUUCGAAGGACGCGGUCUAUAAAGGUGUGGCCUUCGUAGACCGUUUUUAACUGAGACGGUCUGCCCUACGGAGCAUUUCAAGUUUGCAUAACAAGCCGCUAACACCCUUUACCUUGCGUGAUGACGCGCCGCUCCUGUCACCUAGCAACCCUGACAGCUGCGGUUCAAACCGGACGGCGGAGGAGAAAUAUGGAGCCGUUUUAUAUAACCUAUUCCGAGAUGUCCACUUUCACUUAGAUGUCCACUUCUUACUUUAUUCUUACUUUUAUUUUGUUGUAUUUUAUUUAUAAUUUUCUAUUUUUUAUAAUCUUA